CCAUAAUAGAAAGAUAGUUCGUCUUUGUAUCUGUGGCAUAGCGGCACCUGUGAAUACAUGGGCAGUACCAUUGAGCGCUAUCUCAAUUUUAAAGUAACAUUACUUCUUAUUUUGUUUGAAAAAAGCGUAAAGCUAAAAUUGGUGAUUUUACGGCACCUCUAGUGCUGGAGGACCCAGUGGCGAUCCGUCAUUCAGGGAAGGCACAGCAGUGCCCCACCUGUUUAGCCUAUAUAUUUAUAUAUAUUUAUAUUUUUUGUUUGUUUGUUGCCUGUUUUACAUGUUAUUUGGCAUUAAUACAUGUCACAUAUCAAUUCAAUCCAGCAUGAUUUCUGCCGCGAUCAAAACAACUGGAAACUCGGAACUGGGGAAUCUCGGACUUCUUUGUCUUGAAAGCACCAUAAAUCCAGAGAUUGCCAGACUUUGAUGACAACAUUUGCCCACAAGAAGGACCGUCGCGCAACCUUCCUGUUCAAGUGAGCACAGCACAGCGAUGAGUCCUAAAAUGCCUUGUAUGCUGCUGCAUAAAUGAUGUAAUAUGCCAUGGAGAUAUGUAUACUGUAGCUAAGAAAGUAAUACUAAGUGUAGUAAGGUGUUAAUAGUCCAUGUGCCUCACCCUAAUACUUUGGUCCCUUUCCCCCUCAUAAUUUAGCCUAAUGUUCAGACUUGGUGGUGGAUGUACAAGAUUUACAUGCGAAAAUCGCCACUGAUCACUGCCCUCUAGUGGCCCCAACAAAUGAAUGCAUUUUCUUCUAAUUAUUUUGGUUAGGGACUCCCAGUGGCGAUUUUAGCAUGGAAAUCUUGGUGGGGUAAAGUAAACUUUUUUUCUUUUGGGAUACAUGCCAGCAAAGCCACUGCACAACACAACACUAAACAAUACAUUAAUUGCACUAUAACGGUGACAAACGGUGCACACAAACUGUUAGUGUCUACAUAAAGCUGUCCCAACAGCAGAGCUUUCUUUUAAGCAUAAUGGAGUGAAUCCUUACCACCGCUAUACCUGGCUAUCAGCAGAGACUUGUCUGGCAGCGAAACAGUUCAUUCAGCCUCAUUUACUGCCUUUUAAAAAAAACAUAGCAGAUAUGGCUAAUUUUAUUAAUUAAUUUGAUAUGCGACCUGUACGCUCUCGUUGGCUGGCCCUCGCUUCAUACUCGUCGCCAAACCCACUGGCUCCAGGUCAUCUACAAGACCCUGCCAGGUAAAGUCCCGCCUUAUCUCUGCUCGCUGGUCACCAUUGCUGCACCCACCCGUAGCACGUGUUCCAGCAGGUAUAUCUCACUUGUCACCCCCAAAGCCAAUUCCUCCUUUGGCCGCCUCUCCUUCCAGUUCUCUGCUGCCAAUGACUGGAACGAACUACAAAAAUCUCUGAAACUGGAAACACUUAUCUCCCUCACUAGCUUUAAGCACCAGCUGUCAGAGCAGCUCACAGAUCACUGCACCUGUACAUAGCCCAUCUAUAAUUUAGCCCAAACAACUACCUCUUCCCCUACUGUAUUUAUUUAUUUUGCUCCUUUGCACCCCAGUAUUUCUACUUUGCACACGCAUCUACUGUCAAAUCUACCAUUCCAAUGUUUUAAUUGCUAUAUUGUAUUUACUUUGCCACCAUGGCCUUUUUUGCCUUUACCUCCCUUAUCUCACCUCAUUUGCUCACAUUGUAUAUAGACUUAUUUUUCUACUGUAUUAUUGACUGUAUGUUUGUUUUAUUCCAUGUGUAACUCUGUUGUUGUUAUAUGUGUCGAACUGCUUUGCUUUAUCUUGGCCAGGUCGCAGUUGUAAAUGAGAACUUGUUCUCAACUUGCCUACCUGGUUAAAUAAAGGUGAAAUAAAAAAAUGGCUGACUUGCUUAAACAAAUGUGGCUUCUACUGAUAAUUGAGAUGUACAAAGUAUGGCAUAAGGGAACGACGAGCAGAUGAGGCAAUCCGUAAUUUUGAUUAAGACCUUAAUGAGUGAGCUAAGACGGUCGUAGUCAAUAACUAUUUGUUCAGCACUUUUGAAAUGUACAGCGCCAGAAUUCAGAACAUGGGCCGUUCUUACAUUUUGCCAAAAUGCACCUAAAGACUCUCAGACCAUUAGAAACAAGUGUCACGCCCUGACCAUAGAGAGCCCUUAGUUCUAUAUGGUGUUUAGGUCAGAGCGUGACUAGGGG
rnacentral:lncRNA from 1 species